UGGCUAAUUAAAAAAGAUCAUGCACGCUCCCUUUGGCCCAAGAGUUGAAAAACAUUUAAGACGCUAAUAAUACAGCCGACAACACGUGAAGUUUUAUCAACACGUAUUUAAACUCAACCGCUAAAGAUUCACUUGUCCGAAAAACAAAGGUCUCGUCUAAUACAUGAAAUUUGAAAAAAGGAAACAAAGUACAUUAUCCGUACUGGAUCGGGUCGGGUCAGGAUUAAGCACAUCCUCUUGGAGCAAACCCGACUCGGGAACCCAUCAAAUCGUAAACGACCCGGAAACCCUGCUGCUGGAUGUUCCCGAUGAUGGAUAGCCCGCUCAUCGUACCGGCAAAUGCAAAGCAGAACUUGCCGUUAGUAUCCACCGGAAUCAGAUAAUUAGUCGCCGGAAGUGACACGUCAGCUCCACGGAAGUGUAGAACCACCGUCGGAACUUUAACCUCGUUUUGAUGAGAGAGAUCGAAACACGUAUCGAAGAGAGAGUAGUCCGGCGCUCGUUUCAAACUCCUGGCUCUGACCCGGAACGCGUCUCUCAUAGCAACGUAAGCGGGUCGGACCAGCCGGGUCACAGAGGUACCCGAGUCGAUAAUGACUCCACCGUUACCGAUCGGGUCGAGUUUGAAAAGAGAAGCGGCUACGCCGGGGACGCGCGUCCCUCCGACGCUUAUUCCGAGCAGCUCGACGUAGUAGAAUGUAUCAAGCUUCGGAUUCGAUAAGCUAGUUUACUCCUUGGGCAGAUCCUUAGCUUCGUAAUGUUUUGCAGUGUAUCCGAUCUACUCGACUAUAUCAACCCAAGCCAUAACGCAAAAGGGAAACAGAGUGUGGCAGCGAAGAGGAAGAGCUAUAUGAAGGUUUUACUUCUAUUUCUUUCGACAUUUCUCCACUUUAAUGGUUAAAAAUGCUUACAUGAUUGGACCUGUGUUAUUGUGUAGCUAAAGGAAAAAUCCAAUCAGAACGUUGUUUCUGAACAGUUAGCAGAAACCCCAAGGGAAAAUCAAAAGGAAAUGUCUGAAGAGGAGACAGAAGCAACUGGAUCGGAAGAUGGUCAAUCGAGCGAUGCGAAUCAGGAGACAAUUCUUGCAUCAGCUGAAGAACCACCUUCUCCUCCAGUCAUUGAUGAGGCUACUGUGGAUAAUAGUAAUUCAAUUACAUCUGCUGAAGUUUCAACUGAGACACAACACCCUGAUGGUAGUGAAGAUGGAUGGCAGCCGGUGCAUAGACCGAGAUCUGCUGGAUCAUAUGGUCGCCGGCUGAAGCAACGACGAGCAUCAAUUGGAAAGGUAUAUACCUAUCAGAAGAAAAAUGUUGAAGCUGAUAACGAUAACCCUGUUCUCCAGAAUGCUACUCAGCCGAACUCCAAAUACUACGUUCUGAAGAAGCGUACAGCGUCCUCUGCAAACUAUGGAGAUCAUCAUUCUCCCGGUAUGACAACUCAAGGCACCAAAUUUGGCAGGAAGGUAGUUAAAACCUUGGCAUAUCGGGUUAAAUCAAUGCAGCCGUCUUCUGAAAACCCCAAAACUUCAGCUGAAACAUCAGAAGAAGAUGGGUUGAAGACAGAUGCUUCUCCUGCUGUGCCAUCUGGUCUGUCUAGUAAUGUGCAAAAUGAGGCAUACCCGAAAAACUCUGUUGUAAGUCUUGGAAAAUCUCCAUCCUACAAGGAAGUAGCAUUGGCGCCACCUGGUUCCAUUGCCAAGUAUCAAGUCUGGGCUCCACAAGCCGAAGCUUCAGAUAAGCAAGAGGAGAACAAUUCUGAAGAGGGCACAUCGGUUGAGCUUACAAGGGAUGAGCAGAUGAUUACAGUGUCAGAGGAAGAGGUAAAAAAUGAAAUUUCUGCGGACGCAGAGUCUAGCAAACCUCAAGGCAAAGAAGCGAUCAAAGUAGAGUUACAAUCGUCUGAAGUGGAAUUCAAAGGGAACAAUCUGAAUGAAAAUGAAGAAUCUGGUGGGGGCAUUCAGGUGGAAGAACCAGUACUUGAAGCUAACGAAGGUGUAACCGAUAUGAUUCAUUCCACCACAGAGCAAGAAUUGAAAGAUCAGCUGGCCGCUGAUUCCGAUGAUCUGAAGGAAAAACUGGGAAUCUCUGCUACAGACUCCAGCGACGCCCCGCGAGAGUUACUGUUACCUAACAAGAAGUUAUCAGCUUCAGCUGUUCCAUUCAACCCAUCAUCACCUCCAAGUAUCAUACGUCCUACUCCAAUAGGCAUGAAUAUUGGACCGUCGUGGCCAGUGAACAUGACUCUUCAUCACGGACCUCCUCCUUUCCCAUCACCUCCUGCAACUCCAAAUUUGAUGCAGCCUAUGUCCUUUGUAUACCCUCCUCCUUACACUCAAUCAAUCCCCACAAGUACUUAUCCUGUAACCAGUGGUCCUUUCCAUCCCAAUCAGUUCCCAUGGCCUCAUAUGUCGGAGUUUGUACCAAGAACGGUUUGGCCCGCAUGCCAUCCCGUUGAGUUUUCCCCUCCACACAUGAUCGCUCCCGAGCCAAUAGCUUCGACUGUCUUAGAGCCAACCGUCAUUCUACCAACUGAUAUUGAGACUUCAGGUGUGGAAGAAGGCAAGCAAGAUGUGGCGGCAACCGCGGGUGAAACUAUGGAUUCUGUUAAUCAUGUGAAUGUGUUGGCUAGCAGUGAAAUGGAGAAUGGAAACAAGAAAUUUGAGGAAGGCGAGAAGACGUUUAGCAUUUUGUUAAGAGGAAGGAGAAACAGGAAACAAACACUGAGAAUGCCGAUCAGUUUGCUUAACAGGCCUUAUGAUUCUCAACCGUUCAAGAUUGCUUAUAGCAGAGUCAUCAGAGGCAGCGAGGCUCCCAAGUCCGCGGCUUGAAACCAAAGACUCAGCAUCGUCGAUGAAAUUCAUCACUCACACAUCUCUCUCUGAUCCUUGCUGUUUCUUAGGGGACAGUAUAAAAGGUUAGCUUCUUGGUUGAAUCUUUCUAUAUAUAUAUAUAUACACAUGUAUAAUGCAUAUAUGCUAACUUGAUGAUGUCUUCAUUUCAGGUAAUUUCGUUAUCAGUGAAGCUGUGGCUUGUGAUAGUCUCAGAAUGAUUUGAUCUGGAUUCGAAAGAAGAGAGGUUGAAGAGGGAAAAAAGCUAGAACUAUUCUUUUUCUUUUAUUCCAUCUGAGGUGCUGAAGUAUUGUUUUCUGGGUUUUAAUUUUUAAUUCAGCCAAUAAAAAAAUUAGGAAAUUUUGGACAUAAUUUUUUUUCAUAUCCCCUUGUGGCCAUGUUAAAAAAACUUUUGUCAUCUCUUGUUCACUUUUGCGUAUUUGUCAUCAAUUACAUUACAUCUAUCUAAUGGCCUGGCUACGAAAUAUCGUAAUUAUAAUUUAUAAACUUGUUUAUUGAAUCAGUUAUUAGAUGAUAAUACCUCUGAAUAAACCCAAGAUAAGUUUUUUCCAAAAAUAAUAAUAAUACUUCGAAUAAAAAGAAAUAUUAACAACUAAAAAUGCAGAACCAUGGUGUCCUCAGCUUUCGCGCCAUUUUCGAGUUAAAAUGGAUUAACGACAACCGCCGGUGGUUCUUCCCGAAGAAGACCAAUCUGGUCGUGAUAACUUACAAAUGGGUUUUCACCUUCAAAAUUUCCCGGUGGGUUAUAAACACAAAUCGCAUAAAGGCCGCCGUUUGAACAAUCCACACGUGCGCACCCAACCUUCGUGCUAUCUCUCCACACGAUCUGCGUGUAGUGUCCACACAUUUGCCCCGGCUCACACGUGUUACCAUUAACGUCGUAGAACUUAUUUUCAUCGGCCCACACUUUGACGACAUCAAUGGGCCUCCAGUUAUUCUGUCCGGCCCAAAAUAUGUUUUCUCCGAACGGACCAUUAGAGUGAACAAGCCUGCAGUCUCCGACGCGCUGUCUCGCCCACGCACGUGCAUACGCCGCUAAUCUUCCAUCCCAUUCUAACGGCGGUUCUCCCACGCGCGCUCGUACGAGGUUAUGUGCGUAUAGAAACUCAAUGCUCGCUCUGUUUACUUUGUUACGAUGUCGUCUUCUCCCCCACCUGAAGGAGGAAUGUUUUCCGGUUAACGACAGAGCUGAUGAAGACAGAAAUCGUGAAUUUGGCGCUGACGGAGAGCUGACGGAGGUUUGUUUAGACGACUCGCUGUGAUUGAUUUGGGACGUCGCGGCACAGAGCUGAAGGAGGAAUAACGUAAUGGCGAUGAAUAUGGGAAACGGAGCUAGUAAUUCCCGUUGACGAAGCUCCAUUUUUCUAAAUAGAAAAGAAACAAAAGAGGGUAUAAUAUUUUUACAGGAGAGUUAAUUACUCAAUUGCAGGUGAAGGUGUAAUUAACUCUCCGAUAGGAUUUGUUGAGAGGGAAAACGAAUCAAUAAGUAAUUGUUUCUAUUUAUGAACGUCAAAUGUAAAUAUAUCGUUUGCAUGAGUCAACGCACGGUGAAUAUUGAAUACCGGAAUGCCGCUAAUGUUAAGUAUUGCCUAAAUGUGGUUUUAAUUUUAGUCAAAACUUAACAUUAAGGUUAAAGUAAAGGUGAGAUAUUGUUUGUUAUCCAAAAUUUGAUCCGUAAUCUGCAUUGAUCUAUAUAUAUUUCAAAGGUUAUACUAACGAUCGAUGACAACUUUCUGUUCCGAUAAGUUUGACGAUUAUGAAAAUCAUUCGAGUUUCUUUAAUUAAAAAUUGAUGCAAAGUGACUAUUAGCUUAUAUAUAUCUUUGGUAUAGUUUCCUUUAAGCUAACCAUUGGUUUAGUGUGGUUUGGUUUCCUUUUGCUUAACCAUUAGAGUAUAAAUACAUAACAAUGUAUGCUUUCUACGGUUAAUGAGAAAGUUUAUUUUCAUCAUCUUCUUUUCUUCAAUAUGGUAUCAGAGCCAAAAUGGAUCCUCCAUUGAUUCUGUUACUCGAGCUUUCUUCUUCACCAUGAGUGUUUCGAUUUCGCAGUAUCUUUCUGCUCUCUGUACUCGCUACGUGAUUCUUCUGCUCGAGUUUCUGGGAUUCGUUUCGACCGUUUUCUUCUUUGUUGUUCUUCGAUCAAGCAAACUGGUUCAUCAUUCAUUGUUCUGCUUGUGUACGUCGAUGAUAUCUUGAUAGCUUCGAACAAUGAUGAGGAUCUUACGGCACUUAAGAAGAUCUUGCAUAAGGCUUUUAUCAUCAAAGAUUUGGGGAGACCAAAGUUUUUUUUGGGAUUGGAGAUAGCUCGGAACUCUACUGGAAUCUCGGUAUGUCAAAGAAAGUAUGCUCUAGAUAUCCUUGAAGCUACAUGCAUGCUGGCUUGUAAGCCAAGUUCUAUACCGAUGGAUCCAACACUCAAGCUUACUCGCACAUCUGGAAAGCCUUUGAAGAACAUUACUCAAUACAGAGAGUUGAUUGGUCGUCUUUUAUAUUUGACCAUCACCAGACCAGAUAUCACUUAUGCAGUGAAUAAUCUGAGUCAGUUUCUCUCUUGUCCUACUGACGUUCAUCUGCAGGCUGCGUACAAGGUCUUGCGGUAUAUCAAGUCAAAUCCGGGUCAAGGCUUGUAUUAUGCUGCAGAUACAGAGCUCUGUCUCAAUGCUUUUACUGAUGCAGACUGGGCUACUUGUCCUGAAACACGACGAUCUAUCUCUGGUUACUGUGUUUAUCUUGGGACUUCGCUUAUCACAUGGAAAUCUAAGAAGCAACAGACUGUGAGCCGUAGUAGUACUGAAGCUGAAUACAGAAGCAUGGCGUUGGCUACGUGUGAACUGCUUUGGCUUGCUCAGUUACUGAGGGACUUCAAGGUCACAGUUACAGCACCAGCAAAGUUGUUAUGUGAUAACAAAUCAGCUAUGCAUAUCGCUUCUAAUCCGGUCUUUCAUGAGCGUACGAAGCACGUUGAGAUUGACUACCAUACUGUCAGAGAUCAACUGAAGCGGGGGUUCCUGAAGCUCUUUCACGUCUCUUCAUCAAAUCAGCAUGCUGAUAUACUCACCAAGCCUUUGCAUCCGGGACUUUUUCACUCUCUUCUUGCUCGGAUGUCACUUUCAAACCUCUUUAAGCCACAGUCUUAAACGGUUUGAGGGGGGUAUAUUAGCUUAUAUAUAUAUAUCUUUGGUAUAGUUUCCUUUAAGCUAACCAUUGGUUUAGUGUGGUUUGGUUUCCUUUUGCUUAACCAUUAGAGUAUAAAUACAUAACAAUGUAUGCUUUAUACGGUUAAUGAGAAAGUUUAUUUUCAUCAUCUUCUUUUCUUCAAUAGUGACCAUAACUAUUGAACUUCGUUAGAUAUAAUGUCAAGCUAUCACACUACAUCAACCACAGUGGUGAUCUUCGCAAAUAGCCAAAAUAACCACUUCAUCGGUUUGUCCCACAACAUACAGAAAACUCAAUUUACAAAUAAACUACAAUAUCUAACCGAGUGAAGACAACAUUCUAAUAUCUCUUGUUCAAGAUAAUUUGGUGAUAAAGUAGAUUAAACCCAAAAUUACUAGUAGUAGUAUUAAAGAAGUAUUCAACCCAAUAAAAUAAAUAAAAAUCGGACCACUGUCUCUAACGUGGCGCUGGAUCUUCGUUUUUGUCUGUUUAAGAAAUAAUAACACGAAAAUUCAUGUGCCCUAUUAGCCUGUAUAAUACACAUUUCCACAGUACUUUACCAAGAUUUACACAAAAAAAUAUUAAUUAGAUUUUGGACGUACUCUACCUUCCUUAAGAUCUACUAGUAUUGUAGAGUACUAGUUUCUAUAGCAUGGUCUUGAAACUUGUUUUCAUAAUCUUGAUCCGACUUAUUCCGUAAACUUGUUUGCAUAAUAAUCUUUAUAAAUCAAAUAGUAGUAUUAAAAAGUUCCAGUAAUUGUCAUUUGUUGGUUCACUAAAAGUAAAUGAAAGCUUUUGGCUAAUUAAAAAAGAUCAUGCACGCUCCCUUUGGCCCAAGAGUUGAAAAACAUUUAAGACGCUAAUAAUACAGCCGACAACACGUGAAGUUUUAUCAACACGUAUUUAAACUCAACCGCUAAAGAUUCACUUGUCCGAAAAACAAAGGUCUCGUCUAAUACAUGAAAUUUGAAAAAAGGAAACAAAGUACAUUAUCCGUACUGGAUCGGGUCGGGUCAGGAUUAAGCACAUCCUCUUGGAGCAAACCCGACUCGGGAACCCAUCAAAUCGUAAACGACCCGGAAACCCUGCUGCUGG
rnacentral:lncRNA from 1 species